UACGAAGGGGGCUAGCGUUGCUCGGAAUCACUGGGCGUAAAGCGCACGUAGGCGGCUUUUUAAGUCAGGGGUGAAAUCCUGGAGCUCAACUCCAGAACUGCCUUUGAUACUGAGAAGCUCGAGUCCGGAAGAGGUGAGUGGAACUCCGAGUGUAGAGGUGAAAUUCGUAGAUAUUCGGAAGAACACCAGUGGCGAAGGCGGCUCACUGGUCCGGUACUGACGCUGAGGUGCGAAAGCGUGGGGAGCAAACAGG
rnacentral:rRNA from 1 species